UUUGGGGUUUUGGUUAAUUUAUUUGUUAUAACUAUAUCAUCACUAGUGAAGGAGGGGGGCAACAUGGAGAUACAAAAUAUCCUAAGGAAGAGAAUAAACAAUCUGUGAUAGACUUCUGAGAUUAAACUAUAAAACAUAAAGAGAAGCUUAUGUAAUUCCAUGUUCAAUGAAGAAGUGACUAGUUAACAACCUGUCAAACACAUAUUAAAUGCAAAUCAGGCUAAUAUUGUGUAUCUUGCAUAAACAAAGUUUGUCUCUUCCCUAACCAUUCCUCCAUACUGAAACUAUCUAAAAACACAUCAUGAUCAACACCUUCGGUGGCCCACCUGUCCACAAUAAAUGCACUCUUCUAAGGUGUUCUACCAAUGAAUCAUGCAUUGCCUGUAUGUAUGCAAUACUUACAGCAUAAAGAGAGUGUACUGACCAAAGCUGAACAAUGUACACUUACAUAGUGGAUAAUAUGCUAGAAUGCUGCCAUUGUUACAUCUGACCACUGACUUCCAGGUUUAGCUCCCUUUGGAGUUUCAAAUCAGACAUCUGAAUGGAUAGGCUAUUUAGACGAUUUCAUUAGAUGAAUGUUCAAGUUUCAGCAACAAUGAACUAGCAGUGUCUUUUCUUUUAGGAAGGCCAUUGCAAACAUUAGCUGUGGAACUAAAAUUCUUAAGUGUGCUAUAAGAAUAAAGGGGAGUGUGUUCGGAUGUCUGUCAAUUACAUCUUUGUUGACACAGUAUCCUGCGGAUCUAUUAAGACACUGUGCAUAUAUGUAUGUAUAGCCAUAUCUCUAUUUUCAGUACUCCUGCCUAAACAUCCUAAAUACAGUGAUUAGAUGCAAGAGCUACCUCACCCAGAUGACUAAGUAUAUGUAACACACAUAUAAAUACGUAAAUGCGCUUACAACAGAACUGGAGACAGUGUCAUCUAUUUCUAGCACAAAUGGAUCCACAUCUAAAUUAAAGCAUUUAAACAAGACCUUCAUUUAAAAUAAGCAGGGCAAAAUUUUAAAUGCAUAAAACCAUUAAUAUAACAAAUUCAUUCAUUUUAUAGACUACAAAGUUGCUUAAGAUGAAAAACUGAAAAAUAUGAGGUAGUGACACCCAAUCAGCGUUAUUUUGACCAUUUAUAAAAUACACAUUCAAAGACUAAGUGAAAGUGGAGCUGAAUUCUAAGGUAUCGUGGAAAAGAAAUCCGUAAUCUCAGGAAAGGUAAAGUAGAAAUAUAUUCACGAUAUAUUUACAGAACCGCCCAAUUUCUAUCAUUGAAACCAACAGAAGAGAAGAGUGGAAGCAGGGCACAGAGGCAC
rnacentral:lncRNA from 1 species